GGAGAGAUGGCUCAGUGGUUAAGAGCACUGACUGCUCUUCCAGAGGUCUUGAGUUCAAUUCCCAGCAACUACA
rnacentral:tRNA from 1 species